GACAGAGGGUGCAAACGUUGUUCGGAUUCAUUGGGCGUAAAGGGUGCGUAGGCGGCGCGGUAAGUCGGGUGUGAAAUCUUGGAGCUUAACUCCGAAACUGCAUUCGAUACUGCCGUGCUUGAGGACUGGAGAGGAGACUGGAAUUUACGGUGUAGCGGCGAAAUGCGUAGAUAUCGUAAGGAAGACCAGUGGCGAAGGCGGGUCUCUGGACAGUUCCUGACGCUGAGGCACGAAGGCCAGGGGAGCAAACGGG
rnacentral:rRNA from 1 species